rnacentral:rRNA from 1 species
UUUUACAGCCAUACCAUUCUGAACUCCUCUGAUCUUGGAAGCUAAGCAGGGUCGGGCCUGGUUAGUGCUUGGAUGGGAGACAGGAUUUCUCUGCACAGUCCUGGCUGUCCUGGAAC